rnacentral:rRNA from 1 species
AUGCGUAGAUGUUAUAUGCAUGAGAAGAACACAAGUGAGUUGUGGGCAAUAAUAGUCAUACUGCUUACCAGCAUGUCAUCCUUUGAUUCGGCGGUAUUGUUGGAUGAAGCGGCCCGGACCGAUGAUACGUCUCCAUCGUAUCUACUUUUCCAAACACUUUUGCCCUUGUUUUGGAUUCUAACUUGCAUGAUUUUAAUGGAACUAAUCCGGAUUGACGCUGUUUUUAGCAGAAUUGCCAUGGUGUUAUUUUUGUGCACAAAUAAAAGUUCUCGGAAUGACCUGAAACUUCACGGAGAAUAUUUUUGGAAUAUAUAA